AAGUUCAAAUGGAACCCCUUUGAUUUAACUAAAGACUGGCCGCAGGCAGAUUUUCCAUUAAUUCCAAUUGGCCGUAUCCGAAAUGUAAAUCGAUCUUGGACCGCAACCCAAAAGAUUACUUUGCUGAAGUUCAACAAAUUGCCUUUAGUCCAGCUUAUAAUUAACCAGUAACAUCACAUCGGCUAUCCUAUAUUGCAAGGCUACAAUGGAGGAACCAUCCAAAAGAAGAAAGUUAGUAGUUAAGAGGAGACAGUUGAUUAACAGAUUCAACCAAGAGUUUGCUAUGCUCGGUGGACAG